AUGCACCAGAUACGAGCCUGACAGUCUACAUCCAAGAUGUGUCGCACACUGGGGUUUAUCUGUGGCUGCACGGCUUCAAACGGUGCGAGAGGAACGUCAGCCCUGAGAUUUAAGCCCGUCAGUGGAGAGCAGCACUGACGAGUUAUAACUCAGAGGCACAGAU
rnacentral:snoRNA from 1 species